rnacentral:tRNA from 2 species
AGCGGGGUGGAGCAGUAGUAGCUCGUCAGGCUCAUAACCUGAAGGUCGCGGGUGCAAAUCCCGCCCCCGCAACAA